rnacentral:rRNA from 1 species
AGUGAACGCUGGCGGUAGGCCUAACACAUGCAAGUCGAACGGCAGCACAGAGGAGCUUGCUCCUUGGGUGGCGAGUGGCGGACGGGUGAGGAAUACAUCGGAAUCUACUCUGUCGUGGGGGAUAACGUAGGGAAACUUACGCUAAUACCGCAUACGACCUACGGGUGAAAGCAGGGGAUCUUCGGACCUUGCGCGGUUGAAUGAGCCGAUGUUGGAUUAGCUAGUUGGCGGGGUAAAGGCCCACCAAGGCGACGAUCCGUAGCUAGUCUGAGAGGAUGAUCAGCCACACUGGAACUGAGACACGGUCCAGACUCCUACGGGAGGCAGCAGUGGGGAAUAUUGGACAAUGGGCGCAAGCCUGAUCCAGCCGUACCGCGUGGGUGAAGAAGGCCUUCGGGUUGUAAAGCCCUUUUGUUGGGAAAGAAAUCCAUCUGGUUAAUACCCGGGUGGGAUGACGGUACCCAAAGAAUAAGCACCGGCUAACUUCGUGCCAGCCGCCGCAGUAA